UCCUCAGUCUCUAUAUAUCUGUCACGAAGAAAUCCACCCACUUUCUUUGAUCCUCAAAAUAGAUAAUAGUCUGCCUCUUUGAAAUACUAUUGCAUAACAAUAGCUUUCCAUCUGCUUCAUGUUUUCUGAACGUGAUAAGAUGACCAUGCCCAGAGCCCACAUCUUUCUAAGACUACCCAUCCUCUUCAUCACCUUCAACUUGAUCACAGCGUUGAUCCCUUCUGCUCUUUGCGAUGACGAUGCUCAAUACACAGAGUGCCGCAAUAUCUACGACUGCGGUUUGCUUAAAAACAUAACCUACCCUUUCUGGGCAGCCAACAGUCGGCCCAAACACUGCGGGCGAGAAGGGUACGAACUCACCUGCCGAGAUAAUCAAUACCCUGUUAUCAGUAUUGAAGAACAAGAUUUCCUUGUCUUGAACAUUAGCAGUGUAGUUAACAUCAUCACAAUUGCUCGCCCAGACCUCUGGGACAGUCCUUGCACUAGCAGGCUCGUCAACACCACUUUGGACUACGAUCGUUUCGCUUACGCUCAAGCUGUUCGGAACCUGACUUUGUUCUAUGGCUGCGUUCCUACCAAUCAUUCAAUCGCAAAUAACUUUACUUGCAAAAUAGAGGGUACGCAAAACGAUCUUGCGAUCUAUAUUGACGACUCUAUCUCGAGGCUUACUCCUGGUCAGACUGAGACCUUCUGCCCCUACAAUAUCAGUGUCCCCAUAAUGUGGACGGGUGUUGAUCGUCCGCCUGAGAAUUACACGGUGGAUGUACUGAAACAAGUUUUGAAGCACGGCUUCAGGGUUGAGUACUAUGCCGAAUGGAAGCUCUGUGGGCCAUGCAUGCUCUCUAAUGGAACCUGCGGAUCCGACAUCACCACUGACUCUUUUCUCUGCUUUUGCGGGGGCCAUCCUUAUGAGGAAACCUGUCCAAGUUCUGGAGAAAAUUCGUGGAACUGGAAAACAAAGUCUAUUGUAGGUGUUUGCACAGCUGCUGCUACUGUACUUAUAAUGUGUGUUGUUUUCUUUGUAUACCAACGCCGCAACAGAAAACAAUAUGCUCCAUCAUCCUUUGUACCUCGAAGCGUCUUUUCUAAACAAACUUCCAUGGAUGAUAUGGAGAAGGGAAGUACCUACCUUGGAGUGCAUUUGUUCACAUAUAGGGAACUUGAAGAAGCAACUAAUUAUUUUGAUUCAGCCAAAGAACUCGGUGAUGGAGGCUUUGGCACAGUGUAUCAUGGAAAUGUUCGUGAUGGGAGAGCCGUUGCAGUCAAGCGUCUAUAUGAAAACAAUUGCAAGAGAGUUGAGCAGUUCAUGAAUGAAAUUGAGAUUUUAGCUCGCCUGCGCCACCAAAAUCUUGUCUUGCUCUAUGGUUGCACCUCUCGCCACAGCCGUGAACUCCUCCUUGUAUAUGAAUACAUUCCUAAUGGAACUCUUGCUGAGCAUCUUCAUGGUGAAAGAGCAAAACCUGGUGCACUGCCAUGGCUUACUCGAAUGAACAUUGCCAUAGAAACUGCAAGUGCAUUGUCAUAUCUUCAUGCAUCUGAUAUUAUCCACCGUGACGUGAAAACGACGAAUAUUCUCGUUGACAACAACUUCUGUGUCAAAGUAGCGGACUUCGGACUAUCUCGCCUCUUCCCCACUGAUGUCACCCACAUCUCAACAGCUCCACAAGGAACUCCAGGUUAUGUUGAUCCUGAGUAUAACCAAUGCUACCAGCUUACUAGUAAGAGUGAUGUCUAUAGCUUUGGGGUGGUCAUGAUUGAGCUCAUAUCAUCCCUGCCUGCUGUUGAUAUCACAAGGCAUCGACAUGAGAUCAAUUUGUCGAACAUGGCUAUCAACAAGAUUCAAAACCAUGCAUUGCAUGAGCUAGUAGACACAUGCCUAGGGUUUGAAUCAGACUACAGAAUAAGAAAAAUGAUAAUUGCAGUGGCAGAAUUAGCAUUUCGGUGUCUGCAAAGUGACAAGGACGUGAGACCUUCUAUGCCUGAUGUGCUAGAUGAGCUACAGCGGAUCCAGAGUAAGGACUUUGAUAAAGAAAAGGCAGAGGAGAUUGAUAUUUCAGCUGAUGAUGUUGUGUUGUUAAAGAGUGGUCACUGCCUCCUUCCCCAGAUUCUCUGACAUUAAAUUAGAUUAGCAGCUCUACAACACUGAAUGGUAGCAGUUAAAGUUUUUCCUUGUCAAUUUUCUAAGUUUACCAUACGCCAAAUGUCAUGGCUUUCAUUUCCUAUUCAUCUACAAAACUUGUGAUUUUGUUGAAUGAGUUGUAGAUAUUAUGUGAGAGCCGACAGAGGUAUGCUAAGGUCCAGUGUAUAGUGCAGUUAGGCUACAUGGUUUAUCUGUUUUCUUUCAACCAGCUAAUAUUUUUAACAAUUUAAUUGUUUUAUUCGUUAAA